GUCACACUAAUAAUGCUCACCACUGAGGUCACAUGCAAGGUGCUUGUCACGCGCUGUUCAAUGCCUCUGGGAAGGUCUGAGACAAGAGGCAUUAGCUGCCCUUGCAGGACAUCACCUGCUGCAGGUGAAUGAGUUACCAGCUAUGUUGGGCCCUGGGUGUGUGGCGAAUUGGGCACGAGAAGCUAGAGGGAACCCCCCCUAGUGGAUGCCCAUGCCCCUCACAAGGAUUUAGGACAGACUCAUGGCUGGCAGCACUGAGUUCAAUGGGCUGAGGUGAGACCCUCAGAGGCCUCAUGACCCAAUUCAGACUACUCUCUCUCUGAC
rnacentral:RNase_P_RNA from 2 species